rnacentral:misc_RNA from 1 species
GGGAGGCAGCUAACCACGGUAGGGUCAGCGACUGGGGUGAAGUCGUAACAAGGUAGCCGUAGGGGAACCUGCGGCUGGAUCACCUCCUUUCUAAGGAUGAUCCUUCAGCGAGCUUCGGCUCACUAUCGGAUCGUUUUAGAAACAUCAGUGGCCAACGGUCGUCAGGAUCGUUGAGCUGCAUUGGCGGGAUUUCGCCGUCUACGUUUCUCUUUCUUCGCGGACGAACACGCGCUGGGGCUGCAAGCUUGCAGAUCCCUGGUCCUUGACUGGAUAUGCGUUAGGGGCUUGUAGCUCAGUUGGUUAGAGCGCGCGCUUGAUAAGCGUGAGGUCGGAAGUUCAAGUCUUCCCAGGCCCACCACACUCAUCGAGUGAGCAUUCGUCUUCUGGUUACGGGGCCAUAGCUCAGCUGGGAGAGCGCGUGCUUUGCAAGCAUGAGGUCGUCGGUUCGAUCCCGUCUGGCUCCACCAGAUGGUUUGAUUGCCGGCGCAGCUUGCACCAAAAUCGUCCGCGAAACAUCACUUCGCACUUACUAGUCCGGAUGGACAGUGAGCUGCGUGUUUUCUGACAUUGUAAAGAGGAGAUCGAUCCGAGUUGGAUCGUGCAGAGAAUAUCUGCGCGAGACUUCAUUAUCUCCGGAUCAUUUCGGCGCUCACACGCCGUUCAAUGUAACCCUCGUGGUUACUGCGAAUGACGAGUGAGUUGUAAAUGAUCCUUUUAGCGAAGCUUGACCGCCUCGCUAUCGGAACGAUCUUACGAAGCAAGCUGGUCUUUCUAAUCAUUGUCCGGCUGUACGUAGCGUUCAUCGAGGGCGCGCGCCGCAAGGCAAUCGUACAGACAACAUUCUGCCGAGUGUGUGGACAUUGAUAAUGAGAGCAAUCAAGUGCCUUAAGGGUGUUCGGUGGAUGCCUUGGCGCUGAGAGGCGAUGAAGGACGUGCUACGCUGCGAUAAGCCGUG